GGGAUAGUAGUUUUAGCGGUAAAAUACACGGUUGCCAACCGUGAGUUACGGGUUCGACUCCCGUCUAUCUCA
rnacentral:tRNA from 1 species